UUUUCUUCUCCAUUCAUGCCUUUAGUGGUUGUGACUCGACAUCCUGCUUCUUUGGCUUAGGGAAGAUGCAAAUGAUGUCCAUUGUCGAAAAAAAACCGGACGUUGAAGAGCAAGCUGCGAUUUUUCUCAACACCAACUCUACACCUGACGAGAUAGCAGCAGCAGGAGAGCGAGUCAUAAUUGCUCUAUACGGAGGCAAUCCCAACACCCAUAACAUUGACGAGCUGAGUUACUAACUAUUCGUCAGGGCUGCGACGAAAAUCAGCUUCAAUUCAACCAGGUUAUCUCCUACACGAGACUCUACUCGUUUUAACUCCUUGCGGACAUACCAUCAGGUACAGGCGAGGUUGAGAGUCAUACUGAACUAUUUCUCCUGGGGUGGAUAUCCACGCCACAAGGCCUCAACCCCAAAAUGAUGACCAGAGAUGCAGCCCCACAACAUCUCUUGCAGAUGAUUUCUUGCGGCUGCUCGAAGGGAUUAAAAUGCUCAUCAGUCUGCAGGCACUUCGUAGGGCCUCUUGUGACAAUAUACUUAAUGUUGCAGUAGUAGAUAUCCCAGAAAGCUACGAUCUGUCCAAUGUCGGAAUGGAGGAUGUCUUGUGGGCCCAAGAUGUCGACGAUUCAUCACCAUCCCCUAAUGGGGAUAUGCCAUCCCAAUACGUCGAUUCAGACACGGUCGAACCUCAACCGGGACCUUC